rnacentral:rRNA from 1 species
UACAGAGGUCUCAAGCGUUGUUCGGAUUCAUUGGGCGUAAAGGGUGCGUAGGUGGCGCGAUAAGUCGGGUGUGAAAUCUCGGAGCUUAACUCCGAAAUUGCAUUCGAUACUGCCGUGCUCGAGGACUGGAGAGGAGACUGGAAUUCAUGGUGUAGCAGUGAAAUGCGUAGAGAUCAGGAGGAAGACCAGUGGCGAAGGCGGGUCUCUGGACAGUUCCUGACACUGAGGCACGAAGGCCAGGGGAGCAAACGGG